GGAGAUAUUGCACAUUACUAAGUUGCAGGUUGCCUCAUUGCAAUUUAGAAUGUGUGAUAUUUUC
rfam:Xenopus laevis strain J chromosome 6L, whole genome shotgun sequence.